rnacentral:rRNA from 1 species
GACGAACGCUGGCGGCGUGCUUAACACAUGCAAGUCGAACGGAAAGGCCCUGCUUGCAGGGUACUCGAGUGGCCAACGGGUGAGUAACACGUGGGUGAUCUGCCCUGCACUUCGGGAUAAGCUUGGGAAACUGGGUCUAAUACCGGAUAGGAGCCAUCUUUAGUGUGGUGGUUGGAAAGUUUUUUCGGUGUAGGAUGAGCUCGCGGCCUAUCAGCUUGUUGGUGGGGUAAUGGCCUACCAAGGCGGCGACGGGUAGCCGGCCUGAGAGGGUGUACGGCCACAUUGGGACUGAGAUACGGCCCAGACUCCUACGGGAGGCAGCAAUGGGGAAUAUUGCACAAUGGGCGCAAGCCUGAUGCAGCGACGCCGCGUGGGGGAUGAAGGCCUUCGGGUUGUAAACUCCUUUCGCUAGGGACGAAGCUUUUUGUGACGGUACCUAGAUAAGAAGCACCGGCUAACUACGUG